UACAGAGGGUGCGAGCGUUGCUCGGAAUCAUUGGGCGUAAAGGGCACGUAGGUGGUCUCGUUUGUCUGGGGUGAAAGCCCAGGGCUUAACCCUGGAAGUGCCCCGGAAACGGCGAGACUGGAGUCUUGGAGAGGGUCGUGGAAUUCCCGGUGUAGCGGUGAAAUGCGUAGAGAUCGGGAGGAACACCAGCGGCGAAGGCGGCGACCUGGACAAGUACUGACACUCAACUGCGAAAGCGUGGGGAGCAAACAGG
rnacentral:rRNA from 1 species